rnacentral:rRNA from 1 species
UACGGAGGGGGCUAGCGUUGUUCGGAAUUACUGGGCGUAAAGGGCGCGUAGGCGGUGCGAUCAGUCAGGCGUGAAAGGCCCGGGCUCAACCCGGGGACUGCGCUUGAUACUGUUGCGCUGUGAGUCCGGGAGAGGAUGGCGGAAUUCCCCAGUGUAGAGGUGAAAUUCGUAGAUAUUGGGAAGAACACCGGUGGCGAAGGCGGCUCACUGGCCCCGGUACU